UAUAUUCUGGACAGAUGUUGUGGAUGAUAGAUUUAUCGAGGGACUCUUCUGGCUGGAGCUCUAUCAAACAUAGAGGUUGUGGUACAGACUGGUCUAGCCACUGCUGAAGGUUUGGCUGUUGACUGGCUAGCAGAAAAUCUAUACUGGGUAGAGAGUAACCUGGACCAGAUAGAAGUGGCCAAGCUGAAUGGAUCGUUUAGGCGAACACUCAUCGCUGCUCACAUGGAAAGUCCACGAGCUAUUUCCCUUGACCCUAGAGUUGGAAUGAUCUUUUGGACAGACUGGGAGGAAGGCAAGUCUCGAAUAGAAUCGUGCAGCAUGUCUGGAGAAGGCCGCCGCAUUGUAAUAGUUGUCUGUGAAAUUGGUGGUGGCUGGCCUAAUGGAUUAACCCUAGAUUAUGCUUUG